ACGAACGCUGGCGGCGUGCUUAACACAUGCAAGUCGAACGGAAAGGCCCUGCUUGCAGGGUACUCGAGUGGCGAACGGGUGAGUAACACGUGGGUGAUCUGCCCUGCACUUCGGGAUAAGCUUGGGAAACUGGGUCUAAUACCGGAUAGGAACCAUCUUUAGUGUGGUGGUUGGAAAGUUUUUUCGGUGUAGGAUGAGCUCGCGGCCUAUCAGCUUGUUGGUGGGGUAAUGGCCUACCAAGGCGGCGACGGGUAGCCGGCCUGAGAGGGUGUACGGCCACAUUGGGAAUGAGAUACGGCCCAGACUCCUACGGGAGGCAGCAGUGGGGAAUAUUGCACAAUGGGCGCAAGCCUGAUGCAGCGACGCCGCGUGGGGGAUGAAGGCCUUCGGGUUGUAAACUCCUUUCGCUAGGGACGAAGCUUUGUUGUGACGGUACCUAGAUAAGAAGCACCGGCUAACUACGUG
rnacentral:rRNA from 1 species